rnacentral:hammerhead_ribozyme from 1 species
GCACUGCUGACGAGUCCUAAACAGGACGAAACAGCUGUCCAAUGC